AGGAUGAACGCUGGCGGCGUGCUUAACACAUGCAAGUCGAACGGUGAAAGAGAGCUUGCUCUCUGGAUCAGUGGCGAACGGGUGAGUAACACGUGAGUAACCUGCCCUUGACUCUGGGAUAAGCGUUGGAAACGACGUCUAAUACCGGAUACGACCUCCGAAGGCAUCUUCUGGAGGUGGAAAGAAUUUCGGUCAAGGAUGGACUCGCGGCCUAUCAGCUAGUUGGUGAGGUAAUGGCCCACCAAGGCGACGACGGGUAGCCGGCCUGAGAGGGUGACCGGCCACACUGGGACUGAGACACGGCCCAGACUCCUACGGGAGGCAGCAGUGGGGAAUAUUGCACAAUGGGCGCAAGCCUGAUGCAGCAACGCCGCGUGAGGGACGACGGCCUUCGGGUUGUAAACCUCUUUAGUAGGGAAGAAGCGAAAGUGACGGUACCUGCAGAAAAGCACCGGCUAACUACGUGCCAGCAGCCGCGGU
rnacentral:rRNA from 1 species